AAGUCGUAACAAGGUUUCCGUAGGUGAACCUGCGGAAGGAUCAUUAAGAAUUGAAAAUAUUUGUGAAAUUACCACAGCAAACAAUAAUCAUACAAUCAAAACAAAAAAAUUAAAACUUUUAACAAUGGAUCUCUUGGUUCUC
rnacentral:misc_RNA from 1 species